rnacentral:rRNA from 1 species
GACGAACGCUGGCGGCGUGCUUAACACAUGCAAGUCGAACGGUGAAGCGCCUUCCUUUUUGGUGGGUGUGGAUGAGUGGCGAACGGGUGAGUAACACGUGAGUAACCUGCCCCCUUCUUCUGGAUAACCGCAUGAAAGUGUGGCUAAUACGGGAUAUUCUGGGUCUGUCGCAUGAUGGGUCUGGGAAAGAUAUUGUUUCGGUGGGGGAUGGGCUCGCGGCCUAUCAGCUUGUUGGUGGGGUGAUGGCCUACCAAGGCGGUGACAGGUAGCCGGCCUGAGAGGGUGGACGGUCACACUGGGACUGAGACACGGCCCAGACUCCUACGGGAGGCAGCAGUGGGGAAUAUUGCACAAUGGGCGCAAGCCUGAUGCAGCGACGCCGCGUGAGGGAUGGAGGCCUUCGGGUUGUGAACCUCUUUCGCCAGUGAAGCAGGCCUGCCUCGUUUGUGGGUGGGUUGACGGUAGCUGGAGAAGAAGCGCCGGCUAACUACGUG